UAUGUAAUACCUUUUAGUUCUCUUGCAUCAAUUAAGAGCUAAAUUUCCUUAGAAUGAAUAUAUAUUUAUAUAGCAAGUAACAUCUAUAACAGAUAAAAUGUCGAAUACAUUGUCGUGUCUCUUGAACUUGGGAUACAUGUUUCAGCAGUAGAUGACUUCUUUUUUCUAUAUUCAAUCAAAAAAGUAAUGCGAAUGGUGAUAUUUUGACUACUUAUCCUUGAAAUCAUAAAUAACUAAGCAACAAAGCAAUGAAUAAACUAAAUGCUAACCCCGUUUUUGUUUACUUUGCAGAUUAUGUGAAACCUACUAUAAGCUAAGCAUGCAUUCUUCUUAAUAUCAAAUGCUGUGUUCAAUGAUAAUAGAAGAUUAAUCUAUAAUGUGAAGUUUGAAAGUGAAAUUUUGGCAUAAAGGCCAAUAACUAGCUAAUGACUUGUAUACUAUGGCUUUUCAGAUUCCGAAUCUAGCACAGAUCUACCUCAUUAGCUUCUAUGAGGAGCGUGAAUUUGUGAUAUAUGUCUCUUCAAUCUUAAAAUGAACUACGUAUUGUUGUCGGGUUACAUUACUAUCCUGCUUAUCCGUGCAGUGAAUUUUCUGAACUUCUAAAUAUUGAAGCUCAUUGAUAUGUCUGUUAAACGUAUUGUUACUAGAUACAUGAAGGAGGACAAACCACAUGGUUCAGCGGGAGGCCUUUCAACUUUAGGGAUCUGCUUAUGGAAGACAACCCGGUUGGGUUGGGAUCUUCCCUCUUUUUGACUAUACAUAUAUUCUUGUGAUGAUCAUGUAUAAAUUGCUUGAACUAACUAGCUACAGAAUUAGUUACUGGGAACAUAAUAAUUGAUCAAAUAUGGUCUAAAAUAUCUGAAAAUACAAUUGGGCCUACUGCCUCAUCAUACUUAGGUAUAACCAUUGACGUGGUUAUUUAAUCUCAUCUGGCAGUCACAUAUAUUUUUGCUGAACUGCGACCUUUGCUGCAGUUUUCCACUGCCUGAGAUGCUCGGCAUUUGGCUCUUUUUUCCCCUCUUUAUACUUCGUUCACACUUAUUUACCUUCACUCAUAUCCUCUCUUGAUCAAAUUCUCUGCAAUAAAGUGCACUGCAGUGGUUUAGAAUUUCUGAUUUUUUUUCAAAUUUUACCUUCUGUUUACUCCCAACUUGCAGAGGCUCAUAGAAGAUAUGGUGGAAUGGGAACCAUUCUUGUCAGCAAGGGAAGAAGCAAAUAUAUACCUAUGAAGCCAUGGAUUUCAGGGAACAAAUUAUAAUACCAGGAAUGUCUUUGAAAUGCUCUGGUCUCUACUUGGCUCAGUAUAGAUCCACCUCACCACAUCUUUUGGCAAGUGGGGAUGGCUCUAAGACUCCAACCAUCAGCAGUGAUGUUUAUAUCCAUCCAUCUACUAAAGUUCAUCCAACUGCAAAGGCUCAUAGCAAGUCUAUACUGAGAGGUACAUAUUUUCCACACAGUAGCUCUAGGUCAUCUGUUGUAAUGAAAAUAUUCUUGAUAUGAAUUGUGUCAUUUUUGUCUCAGUUAAAAGUAAUGAGAUCAAGUCUGAUUUCUGCUUGGCAUAUAUGGAUCUGAAGAGCUAGCUCCUGAGAUAGCUCUUGCUUGCUUCCAUUUUUUUUCUUAAAAAGUAUCUUCAUAUUGUUUCGUCUAUUAAUUGCCAGACACUUCUGACUGCAAUUGCCCUGAUUUUGUACUCACUUAUGUCUUCCUUCACCUAUAGAAUUGACUUGCCUAUUAAAAUACUAAACAAAUUGGUCAAAAUGUAA